AUGGGCAAGUUCAUGAAACCUGGGAAAGUGGUGCUGGUCCUGGCUAGAUGCUACUCUGAAUGCAAAGCUGUCACCAGGAAGAACAUUGAUGAUGGUACCUCAAACCUUACUGCGAGCGAUGCCCUGGUGGCUGGAAUUGACCACCAUCCCAAAGAGUGACAGCUGCCAUAGGCAAAGAGAAAAUCACCAAGAGAUCAAAGAUGAAGUCCUUUGUGAAAGUUUAUGAUUCAGUCACCUCCUGCCCACAAGCUACUCUGUGGAUUUCCCCUUGGACAAAACUGUAGUCAACACGGAUUUCAUUAGAGACUCAGCUCUAAAUGCAAGGCCAGGCAGGAGGCCAAGGUCAAGUUUGAGGAACGAUUCAAGACAGGGAAGAACGAAUGUUUUUUCUAGAAGCUUUGCUUUUAG
rnacentral:lncRNA from 1 species